CCUACGGGUGACAGCAGUGAGGAAUAUUGGUCAAUGGCCGAGAGGCUGAACCAGCCAAGUCGCGUGAGGGAUGAAUGUCCUAUGGAUUGUAAACCUCUUUUGUCAGGGAGCAAAGUCACACACGUGUGGGUGUUGGAGAGUACCUGAAGAAAAAGCAUCGGCUAACUCCGUGCCAGCAGCCGCGGUAAUACGGAGGAUGCGAGCGUUAUCCGGAUUUAUUGGGUUAAAAGGGUGCGUAGGCGGGUUAUCAAGUCAGUGGUAAAAUCGUGGAGCACAACUUCAUACAGCCGUUGAAACUGGUGAUCUUGAGUGUGCGAGAAGUAUGCGGAAUGCGUGGUGUAGCGGUGAAAUGCUUAGAUAUCACGCAGAACUCCGAUUGCGAAGGCAGCAUACCGGCGCCCAACUGACGCUGAAGCACGAAAGCGUGGGUAUCGAACAGGAUUAGAUACCCCUGUAGUC
rnacentral:rRNA from 1 species